GACGAACGCUGGCGGCGUGCUUAACACAUGCAAGUCGAACGAGAAUCUGUGGAACGAGGAUUCGUCCAAGUGAAGCAGAGGACAGUGGCGGACGGGUGAGUAACGCGUGAGGAACCUGCCUUUCAGAGGGGGACAACAGUUGGAAACGACUGCUAAUACCGCAUGACACAUUGAAGUCGCAUGGCUUUGAUGUCAAAGAUUUAUCGCUGAAAGAUGGCCUCGCGUCUGAUUAGCUAGUUGGUGAGGUAACGGCCCACCAAGGCGACGAUCAGUAGCCGGACUGAGAGGUUGAACGGCCACAUUGGGACUGAGAUACGGCCCAGACUCCUACGGGAGGCAGCAGUGGGAAUAUUGGGCAAUGGGCGCAAGCCUGACCCAGCAACGCCGCGUGAAGGAAGAAAGGCUUUCGGGUUGUAAACGUUCUUUUGUCGGUAGAGUAAAGUACGACUACGUGUAGCGUAUUGCAAGUAUCCG
rnacentral:rRNA from 1 species